ensembl:lncRNA
GUGGGAUGGGCUGAGAGUGGCUGAGGGGGUGGGAUUAAAGAGCUGAGGUCUAUGGUGAUAGGUGGGAUGGGCUGAGAGUGGCUGAGGGUUGGGAUUAAAGAGCUGAGGUCUAUGGUGAUAGGUGGGAUGGGCUGAGAGUGGCUGAGGGGUGGGAUUAAAGAGCUGAGGUCUAUGGUGAUAGGUGGGAUGGGCUGAGAGAGGCUGAGGGGGUGGGAUUAAAGAGCUGAGGUCUAUGGUGAUAGGUGGGAUGGGCUGAGAGUGGCUGAGGGGUGGGAUUAAAGAGCUGAGGUCUAUGGUGAUAGGUGGGAUGGGCUGAGAGAGGCUGAGGGGUGGGAUUAAAGAGCUGAGGUCUAUGGUGAUAGGUGGGAUGGGCUGAGAGAGGCUGAGAGGUGGGAUUAAAGAGUUUAUGUUCGGUAUUGUAUUAUUGUUAUGUGACUGCUUUAUAUAACAGUACCAUGUAUGUCAAAUGUAUAUAUAUAUGUAGCAGAAAAGCUGGGAAAAAAAUCUAAAAGAUAUUUGUCCUCCGAAAGAGAGGUCGAGGGG